CUAUACACAUAUACUCGUAUCGUAAAUAUUUAUUAGAUGACGUCCAACAUUGGAUGAAUUUGUGACAGGCAGAACCGUUCCCUCGUGACCUGGGCAUCGGAUAGGAGAUCAGAUCAGGCAGGUAGGCCCUUAUAAGCAUUCCAUGAUGCGUCACCACAACAAUCGGCAACGCAACCGCGGAUUUCAACGCAGGAGGUGGGCUGGAUUCAGAGCAGGCGCGAGGGCUCAAGCCAUUCGAUAUAUUGUUAUAGGGGUCUUCCUCUUGAUUCCCGCCAUCGCUUUGACCACAUUUGGAGCGCUUUCCCUGACAACAGAAUCGAUUAUCCACCACUAUUUAUACAUCGGUCCCUCAUUGUUCGCCGUUUCCAUCAUUUUCUUGACUAUUGGCCUUUCGUGUUGCUGUAAGGCUCACGGGAAAUGUGGUUGUCCUGCCCCUGAAGCGGAUGCCACAGCAUCAGAGAUGACAGAACCUGCUCGACGAACGAAUCAAGUACAGCCUGUCGUAACUCAGAACACGAAACCAACGCCUGCCGACCCACCGCCUCCGUACAAUGCAUUCGCUCCAGCCGGCCCCCCACCACCGGCGGCCUAUGCUCCACCACCCAUUUAUCCACCACCACCUUAUCCACCACAACAAAAUGAUCCUGCAUAUCCACCCCCAUCAUAUUAAAUGGAGAGCACAUGACAAACCCAUGCCGUAGUCCGGCGAGAUAAAGUUAGAUCUGAAAACGUCAGAUGUCACCACUUCCAGUUGACCCAAUUCAAAUCUCCGCGAACCUGAUGUGCAGAACGUGUGCCCAAGUAAUGCAUGUACAGUAAUCAACCAUCACUGUCCCAGCGCCGAAAUAGCUUGGACGCAGUUUCGGUUUUUGACUCUUAAACAAUACAGGUUCACGAACGAUGAAUAUUCUUGAUAAAUUCUAAGAAUUGUACAUAAUUAGAUGUUAAUAAAUAUGUUGAAAACAUAUUUUA